rnacentral:rRNA from 1 species
AUACGGAGGGUGCAAGCGUUAAUCGGAAUUACUGGGCGUAAAGCGUACGUAGGCGGUUCGUUAAGUUAGAUGUGAAAGCCCCGGGCUUAACCUGGGAACUGCAUUUAAAACUGGCGAACUAGAGUUGAGUAGAGGGGAGUGGAAUUUCAGGUGUAGCGGUGAAAUGCGUAGAGAUCUGAAGGAACACCAGUGGCGAAGGCGGCUCCCUGGACUCAAACUGACGCUGAGGUACGAAAGCGUGGGUAACAAACGGGAUUAGAAACCCUAGUAGUCC